UCCGGUGUAGCUCAGUGGUAGAGCGCUCACUUCUGGAGUGAGAAGUCGUGGGUUCGAACCCCACCACCGGAGCCA
rnacentral:tRNA from 1 species